UACGUAGGAUGCAAGCGUUGUCCGGAAUUAUUGGGCGUAAAGAGCGCGUAGGCGGUAUAGCAAGUCUGAUGUAAAAUCUCCCGGCUUAACUGGGAGGGGCCAUUGGAAACUGCUAAACUAGAGUGCAGGAGAGGUCAGUAGAAUUCCCGGUGUAGUGGUGAAAUGCGUAGAUAUCGGGAGGAAUACCAGUGGCGAAGGCGACUGACUGGCCUGCAACUGACGCUGAGGCGCGAAGGCUAGGGGAGCAAACAG
rnacentral:rRNA from 1 species